GGGGGGAGGCCAGAUCCUGGGCUGUGUCCCGGCGCCCUGUGCUCCGGGGCCUGCGCUGUUGGAUUCGCGCUCCCGGGCCGCGCAACCCUCU
rfam:Canis lupus familiaris chromosome 31, whole genome shotgun sequence.